UGAUGAUGAUGAUGAUGACGAUGAUGAUGAUGUUGAUGUUGAUGAUGAUGAUGAUUAUCAUUAUCGUUAUCAUCGUCGUCGUUGUCAUCAUCUAUC
rnacentral:pre_miRNA from 1 species